rnacentral:rRNA from 1 species
GAUGAACGCUAGCGGCAGGCCUAAUACAUGCAAGUCGAGGGGUAGAGAGAGCUUGCUCUCUUGAGACCGGCGCACGGGUGCGUAACGCGUAUGCAACCUACCUUUAUCUGGGGGAUAGCCCGAAGAAAUUCGGAUUAACACCGCAUAAAAUCACAGAACGGCAUCGUUCAAUGAUCAAAUAUUCAUAGGAUAGAGAUGGGCAUGCGUGCCAUUAGUUAGUUGGCGGGGUAACGGCCCACCAAGACCGCGAUGGCUAGGGGAUCUGAGAGGAUGGCCCCCCACACUGGUACUGAGACACGGACCAGACUCCUACGGGAGGCAGCAGUAAGGAAUAUUGGUCAAUGGAGGCAACUCUGAACCAGCCAUGCCGCGUGCAGGAAGACAGCCCUCUGGGUCGUAAACUGCUUUUAUUCGGGAAUAAACCUGCUUACGUGUAAGUAGCUGAAUGUACCGAAGGAAUAAGGAUCGGCUAACUCCGUGCCAGCCGCCGCAGUAAUAC